GCGUCAUGUGCCAGACGGCUAGGCGAGAGACUGCAAAUCUCUUUUAGAUUGGUUCGACUCCAAUAUGACGCUCCA
rnacentral:tRNA from 1 species